rnacentral:rRNA from 1 species
UCAGAAGUUUGUCACUUGUGGGAACGUGAGCUGGGUUUAGACCGUCGUGAGACAGGUUGGUUUUACCCUACUAUCGAAAACAGGGCGUGUUGAAGGUAAUCUGGGGUAGUACGAGAGGAACUCCCAGGUCGCGCUUCUGGUAUCUACACCUAGUUGACCAACUACGGUGUGAAGCUACGCGCGAUGGUGUACGGCUGAAGGCCUCUUAAGCCGGAACCCAAUCCAGUCACACGCCUGGGCGCAAGCCCAAAGCACCGAAAGGGCUGAUGGACUCGCACACUAGCAAGUCAGCGGUUCGGUAUAGUGGGUUGGUCGAACAGUACCGAUUCACGAUCCGGGCUAACUAAUAUCGUCAGUCUCGGCGCUUCUAUCCGCGACCACACGAGUCGUAUUACAUCGGCAGGUGUACGUUCUCGAGGAAUCCUGCUAUUCCGAGAGAUUGAGCCCAAAGCCUGAUGGUUGGACCCC